rnacentral:rRNA from 1 species
GAUGAACGCUGGCGGCGUGCCUAAUACAUGCAAGUCGAGCGAACAGACGAGGAGCUUGCUCCUCUGACGUUAGCGGCGGACGGGUGAGUAACACGUGGAUAACCUACCUAAGACUGGGAUAACUUCGGGAAACCGGAGCUAAUACCGGAUAAUAUAUUGAACCGCAUGGUUCAAUAGUGAAAGACGGUUUUGCUGUCACUUAUAGAUGGAUCCGCGCCGCAUUAGCUAGUUGGUAAGGUAACGGCUUACCAAGGCAACGAUGCGUAGCCGACCUGAGAGGGUGAUCGGCCACACUGGAACUGAGACACGGUCCAGACUCCUACGGGAGGCAGCAGUAGGGAAUCUUCCGCAAAGGGCGAAAGCCUGACGGAGCAACGCCGCGUGAGUGAUGAAGGUCUUCGGAUCGUAAAACUCUGUUAUUAGGGAAGAACAAAUGUGUAAGUAACUAUGCACGUCUUGACGGUACCUAAUCAGAAAGCCACGGCUAACUACGUG